CCCUCCCAACCAAUUCCGCUCUCCUCUUCUCCUCGGCCACCAGUCAAAGCCCGCACCGCCCUCGCUCGCAAACCAAUCACAGAGAGGCGCACUCCGUCAUCGGCGGAGCAGCCAAUGAGAGAAAUGGAAAGCGGAGGUGUCAUCGCGCAUGGCAACGGGGCAGACUCUCUUUGCGAGGCGCGGGCGGUUGGGCGGGAGCGGCCGCUGAGGGGAGUUGCUGAGGCGCGGGCGGGGUAUUUAACUACAGAAAACCCAAACCCCGAGAAAAUAGAAGGUAAAAUGGUGAAAGGCGAAUGAAGCUUUUUCGUGCAUGUGCUGAAGGGUGUGUGUUUUGUGUCAGCGACAUCUCUCACGGUUUAAUUGCAGUUAUGCCAUGGACAUGUCAGAAUGGACACACAGAAGUUCUGCUUAUCUUAACUAAAGCAGUUAGUGUUACUUCCAGGUGUAAGCAAAUCUGCACAGAAGCAGGUGGUGUUGUUAGCUGAUGGGAAGCUCUGAGCUUGAGUGAACUGAGAGAUGGGGUGACCAACCCACUUCUGAAUAAAGUAGAAAAUGCCGCCUUGCUUGCUGUGGCUGUUUUGUAAGUCACUGAAAGCCUUAAUAUGCCUGUUGUUCAUUAACGGUGGAGUUGAGGAGGAGAACACCGGUCCAAGCAGCACUCUGGUUUCAGGAUGAAAGAAAAUUUAGUCUUUCACACCUCUUAGGAAGAGGAGAGAAACUCACCCGUAGUCUGACUGGAGUCCUGCACAUCUCCAGGUACCUACAUCAAACAAACAAGCCCACCGUGUUCCCUCUGCGACAAACUCACCUCUGAUUUAGCUGAAACUCAGCUGAAACUGCUUGGUAUUCUUUCCCAUCUGUCAAAACAGUGGCACAAAACUUCUCAGCAUCAGAGCUGCCCCUUCUCUCCCACUCAGUGCCACAUGUCUCAGCCAUCGGAAAACCAACCCUGCCACCAUCAGACCAGCUGUCAGCACAGUACAACCUGAGCUCACCCAAGCUCCUUCUGUACCGAGAGCUCACUGACAGCAUAAGAUGCUGGAAUGCCAAAAUGAAGCCCCUGGCACUAUCCCUACAGGUUGACAGCAGGAAAACCGCAGAGAUAGUGGCAAGAAGGCAGUA